CGGGGAGCAGCCCAGAGCCUGAAUCAGUGUGUGUGUUAGUGGAAGCGUCUGGAAAGGCGCGCGAUACAGGGUGACAGCCCCGUACACAAAAAUGCACAUGCUGUGAGCUCGAUGAGUAGGGCGGGACACGUGGUAUCCUGUCUGAAUAUGGGGGGACCAUCCUCCAAGGCUAAAUACUCCUGACUGACCGAUAGUGAACCAGUACCGUGAGGGAAAGGCGAAAAGAACCCCGGCGAGGGGAGUGAAAAAGAACCUGAAACCGUGUACGUACAAGCAGUGGGAGCACGCUUAGGCGUGUGACUGCGUACCUUUUGUAUAAUGGGUCAGCGACUUAUAUUCUGUAGCAAGGUUAACCGAAUAGGGGAGCCGAAGGGAAACCGAGUCUUAACUGGGCGUUAAGUUGCAGGGUAUAGACCCGAAACCCGGUGAUCUAGCCAUGGGCAGGUUGAAGGUUGGGUAACACUAACUGGAGGACCGAACCGACUAAUGUUGAAAAAUUAGCGGAUGACUUGUGGCUGGGGGUGAAAGGCCAAUCAAACCGGGAGAUAGCUGGUUCUCCCCGAAAGCU
rnacentral:rRNA from 1 species